rnacentral:rRNA from 1 species
AGGGUUUGAUUAUGGCUCAGGAUAAACGCUGGCGGCGCACAUAAGACAUGCAAGUCGAACGGAAGUCGUUAUAAAAAGGAUUGAAGAUUUAUCUGAUUGAGAUUUUAUAACAAUGGCUUUAGUGGCGGACUGGUGAGUAACGCGUGAGCAACCUGCCUACUAGAGGGGAAUAACAGUGAGAAAUCAUUGCUAAUACCGCAUAUGCCAUGAACAUCACAUGAUGAAAAUGGGAAAAGAGUAAUCUGCUAGUAGAUGGGCUCGCGUCUGAUUAGAUAGUUGGUGGGGCAACGGCCUACCAAGUCGACGAUCAGUAGCCGGACUGAGAGGUUGAACGGCCACAUUGGGACUGAGAUACGGCCCAG